rnacentral:rRNA from 1 species
GACGAACGCUGGCGGCGUGCUUAACACAUGCAAGUCGAACGGAAAGGCCCUGCUCUUGUGGGGUGCUCGAGUGGCGAACGGGUGAGUAACACGUGAGUAACCUGCCCCUGACUUUGGGAUAACUUCAGGAAACUGGGGCUAAUACCGGAUAGGAGCUCCUGCUGCAUGGUGGGGGUUGGAAAGUUUCGGCGGUUGGGGAUGGACUCGCGGCUUAUCAGCUUGUUGGUGGGGUAGUGGCUUACCAAGUCUUUGACGGGUAGCCGGCCUGAGAGGGGGACCGGCCACAUUGGGACUGAGAUACGGCCCAGACUCCUACGGGAGGCAGCAGGGGGGAAUAUUGCACAAUGGGCGGAAGCCUGAUGCAGCAGCGCCGCGUGCGGGAUGACGGCCUUCGGGUUGUAAACCGCUGUCGCCUGUGACGAAGCGUGAGUGACGGUAAUGGGUAAAGAAGCACCGGCUAACUACGUG